GGGAGUACGGCUCAGUGGUAAAGCUCUUGCCUGGCAGGCAUGAAACCCUCGUUCAAUCCUAAGUACUGCCA
rnacentral:tRNA from 1 species